rnacentral:rRNA from 1 species
AUUGAACGCUGGCGGCAGGCUUAACACAUGCAAGUCGAGCGGAGAUGAGGUGCUUGCACCUUAUCUUAGCGGCGGACGGGUGAGUAAUGCUUAGGAAUCUGCCUAUUAGUGGGGGACAACAUUCCGAAAGGAAUGCUAAUACCGCAUACGUCCUACGGGAGAAAGCAGGGGAUCUUCGGACCUUGCGCUAAUAGAUGAGCCUAAGUCGGAUUAGCUAGUUGGUGGGGUAAAGGCCUACCAAGGCGACGAUCUGUAGCGGGUCUGAGAGGAUGAUCCGCCACACUGGGACUGAGACACGGCCCAGACUACUACGGGAGGAAGCAGUGGGGAAUAUUGGACAAUGGGGGGAACCCUGAUCCAGCCAUGCCGCGUGUGUGAAGAAGGCCUGAUGGUUGUAAAGCACUUUAAGCGAGGAGGAGGCUACUGAGACUAAUACUCUUGGAUAGUGGACGUUACUCGCAGAAUAAGCACCGGCUAACUCUGUGCCAGCCGCCGCGGUAAUAC